rnacentral:rRNA from 1 species
GCUUCCUACGGGGCGCAGCAGUGAGGAAUAUUGGUCAAUGGCCGAGAGGCUGAACCAGCCAAGUCGCGUGAGGGAAGACGGCCCUACGGGUUAUAAACCUCUUUUGUCGGGGAGCAAAGCGAACCACGUGUGGUUCAUUGAGAGUACCCGAAGAAAAAGCAUCGGCUAACUCCGUGCCAGCAGCCGCGGUAAUACGGAGGAUGCGAGCGUUAUCCGGAUUUAUUGGGUUUAAAGGGUGCGCAGGCGGGCUGUUAAGCCGGCGGUAAAAA